rnacentral:rRNA from 1 species
GACGAACGCUGGCGGCGUGCUUAACACAUGCAAGUCGAACGGAAAGGCCCUGCUUUUGUGGGGUGCUCGAGUGGCGAACGGGUGAGUAACACGUGAGUAACCUGCCCUUGACUUUGGGAUAACUUCAGGAAACUGGGGCUAAUACCGGAUAGGAGCUCCUGCUGCAUGGUGGGGGUUGGAAAGUUUCGGCGGUUGGGGAUGGACUCGCGGCUUAUCAGCUUGUUGGUGGGGUAGUGGCUUACCAAGGCUUUGACGGGUAGCCGGCCUGAGAGGGUGACCGGCCACAAUGGGACUGAGGUACGGCCCAGACUCCUACGGGAGGCAGCAGGGGGGAAUAUUGCACAGUGGGCGGAAGCCUGAUGCAGCAACGCCGCGUGCGGGAUGACGGCCUUCGGGUUGUAAACCGCUUUCGCCUGUGACGAAGCGUGAGUGACGGUAAUGGGUAAAGAAGCACCGGCUAACUACGUG